rnacentral:rRNA from 1 species
CCUCCGGAAACGGAAGCUAAUACCGGAUACGAACUGCGAAGGCAUCUUCAGCAGUUGGAAAGAACUUCGGUCAAGGAUGGACUCGCGGCCUAUCAGGUAGUUGGUGAGGUAACGGCCCACCAAGCCUACGACGGGUAGCCGGCCUGAGAGGGUGACCGGCCACACUGGGACUGAGACACGGCCCAGACUCCUACGGGAGGCAGCAGUGGGGAAUAUUGCACAAUGGGCGCAAGCCUGAUGCAGCAACGCCGCGUGAGGGAUGACGGCCUUCGGGUUGUAAACCUCUUUUAGUAGGGAAGAAGCGAAAGUGACGGUACCUGCAGAAAAAGCACCGGCUAACUACGUGCCAGCAGCCGCGGUAAUACGUAGGGUGCGAGCGUUGUCCGGAAUUAUUGGGCGUAAAGAGCUCGUAGGCGGUCUGUCGCGUCUGCUGUGAAAACCCGAGGCUCAACCUCGGGCCUGCAGUGGGUACGGGCAGACUAGAGUGCGGUAGGGGAGAAUGGAAUUCCUGGUGUAGCGGUGGAAUGCGCAGAUAUCAGGAGGAACACCGAUGGCGAAGGCAGUUCUCUGGGCCGUAACUGACGCUGAGGAGCGAAAGCGUGGGGAGCGAACAGGAUUAGAUACCCUGGUAGUCCACGCCGUAAACGUUGGGCGCU